UCCCUGGUGGUCUAGUGGCUAAGACUCUGUGCUCCCAGCACAGGGGACCUGGGUUCAAUCCCUGGUCAGGGAA
rnacentral:tRNA from 1 species